rnacentral:rRNA from 1 species
GAACGCUGGCGGCAGGCUUAACACAUGCAAGUCGAACGCCCCGCAAGGGGAGUGGCAGACGGGUGAGUAACGCGUGGGAAUCUACCCAUCCCCACGGAAUAACGCAUGGAAACGUGUGCUAAUACCGUAUACGCCCUACGGGGGAAAGAUUUAUCGGGGAUGGAUGAGCCCGCGUUGGAUUAGCUAGUUGGUGGGGUAAAGGCCUACCAAGGCGACGAUCCAUAGCUGGUCUGAGAGGAUGAUCAGCCACAUUGGGACUGAGACACGGCCCAAACUCCUACGGGAGGCAGCAGUGGGGAAUAUUGGACAAUGGGCGCAAGCCUGAUCCAGCCAUGCCGCGUGAGUGAUGAAGGCCUUAGGGUUGUAAAGCUCUUUCACCGGAGAAGAUAAUGACGGUAUCCGGAGAAGAAGCCCCGGCUAACUUCGUGCCAGCAGCCGCGGUAAUACGAAGGGGGCUAGCGUUGUUCGGAAUUACUGGGCGUAAAGCGCACGUAGGCGGAUCGA